AGGAAAAAAGCAGUUAAGAUGAUUUCCUUCAUGCCAUCAGGAACAGAGGCUCUACAACAGGGAUAACAGACACACGGCUACACCUCCUCCUUCCGUCCUCACUACUGUAUCUAGUCAUCAGCUCCUAGAACCAAGCAUCAUGCCUGUUACCAUCUCAACGCCAUCUCCUGGCACAUCAAUCAAUGGCGAGAUGAAUACAUGAAUAAAUAAGAUACUGGCAAA